AGUGAACGCUGGCGGUAGGCCUAACACAUGCAAGUCGAACGGCAGCACAGUAAGAGCUUGCUCUUACGGGUGGCGAGUGGCGGACGGGUGAGGAAUACAUCGGAAUCUACUUUUUCGUGGGGGAUAACGUAGGGAAACUUACGCUAAUACCGCAUACGACCUACGGGUGAAAGCAGGGGAUCUUCGGACCUUGCGCGAUUGAAUGAGCCGAUGUCGGAUUAGCUAGUUGGCGGGGUAAAGGCCCACCAAGGCGACGAUCCGUAGCUGGUCUGAGAGGAUGAUCAGCCACACUGGAACUGAGACACGGUCCAGACUCCUACGGGAGGCAGCAGUGGGGAAUAUUGGACGAUGGGCGCAAGCCUGAUCCAGCCAUACCGCGUGGGUGAAGAGGGCCUUCGGGUUGUAAAGCCCUUUUGUUGGGAAAGAAAAGCAGCAGGUUAAUACCCCGCUGUUCUGACGGUACCCAAAGAAUAAGCACCGGCUAACUUCGUG
rnacentral:rRNA from 1 species